UGGAUCCAGACUUUGAUUAUGGCUCAGGACGAACGCUGGCGGCGUGCUUAACACAUGCAAGUCGAACGGAGAACUUAUUUCGGUAAGUUCUUAGUGGCGAACGGGUGAGUAACGCGUGGGCAACCUGCCCUCCAGUUGGGGACAACAUUCCGAAAGGGAUGCUAAUACCGAAUGUGCUCCCUCCUCCGCAUGGAGGAGGGAGGAAAGAUGGCCUCUGCUUGCAAGCUAUCGCUGGAAGAUGGGCCCGCGUCUGAUUAGCUAGUUGGUGGGGUAACGGCUCACCAAGGCGAUGAUCAGUAGCCGGUCUGAGAGGAUGAACGGCCACAUUGGGACUGAGACACGGCCCAAACUCCUACGGGAGGCAGCAGUGGGGAAUCUUCCGCAAUGGACGAAAGUCUGACGGAGCAACGCCGCGUGAGUGAUGAAGGUCUUCGGAUUGUAAAACUCUGUUGUUAGGGACGAAAGCGCCGUGUUCGAACAGGUCAUGGUGUUGACGGUACCUAACGAGGAAGCCACGGCUAACUACGUGCCAGCAGCCGCGGUAAUACGUAGGUGGCAAGCGUUGUCCGGAAUUAUUGGGCGUAAAGAGCAUGUAGGCGGGCUUUUAAGUCUGACGUGAAAAUGCGGGGCUUAACCCCGUAUGGCGUUGGAUACUGGAAGUCUUGAGUGCAGGAGAGGAAAGGGGAAUUCCCAGUGUAGCGGUGAAAUGCGUAGAUAUUGGGAGGAACACCAGUGGCGAAGGCGCCUUUCUGGACUGUGUCUGACGCUGAGAUGCGAAAGCCAGGGUAGCAAACGGGAUUAGAUACCCCGGUAGUCCUGGCCGUAAACGAUGGAUACUAGGUGUAGGAGGUAUCGACCCCUUCUGUGCCGGAGUUAACGCAAUAAGUAUCCCGCCUGGGGACUACGAUCGCAAGAUUGCAACUCAAAUGAAUUGACGGA
rnacentral:rRNA from 1 species